rnacentral:rRNA from 1 species
UACCAGCUCUCCGAGCUGUAGGGAUGAUUAUUGGGCUUAAAGCGUCCGUAGCUGGCUUAGCAAGUCUCCUGUUAAAUUCAGCGACCUAAUCGUUGAGCCGCGGGAGAUACUACUAGGCUAGGAGGCGGGAGAGGUCGACGGUACUUUCGGGGUAGGGGUGAAAUCCUAUAAUCCCGGGAGGACCACCAGUGGCGAAGGCUGUCGACUAGAACGCGCUCGACGGUGAGGGACGAAAGCUGGGGGGAGCGAACCGGAUUAGAUACCCGGGUAGUCCCAGCUGUAAACUAUGCGGGCUAGGUGUUGGGGUGGCUACGGGCCACUUCAGUGCCACAGGAAAGCCAUUAAGCCCGCCGCCUGGGGAGUACGGCCGCAAGGCUGAAACUUAAAGGAAUUGGCGGGGAGCACCACAAGGCGUGAAGCUUGCGGUUC